rnacentral:rRNA from 1 species
CCUACGGGAGGCAGCAGUGAGGAAUAUUGCUCAAUGGACGAAAGUCUGAAGCAGCGACGCCGCGUGAGGGAUGAAGUCCGUUUGGAUGUAAACCUCUUUUGCAGAAGAAGAAUGUUUCGAUUUCUCGAAAUUGACGGUAUUUUGCGAAUAAGCACCGGCUAACUACGUGCCAGCAGCCGCGGUAAUACGUAGGGUGCGAGCGUUGUCCGGAAUUACUGGGUGUAAAGGGUCCGCAGGCGGGCGAGUAAGUCUGUGGUGAAAUCUUACGGCUUAACCGUAAAAUUGCCACGGAAACUGAUUGCCUUGAGUGUGAAAGAGGAAGAUGGAAUUCAUGGUGUAGCAGUGAAAUGCGUAGAUAUCAUGAAGAACACCGGUAGCGAAGGCGAUCUUCUGGUUCACAACUGACGCUCAGGGACGAAAGCGUGGGGAGCAAACAGGAUUAGAUACCCUGGCAGUCACGACCUAACCACUGAUACUACGAUGUCGUAGUCGAAGAGUCGGUGUCUG